rnacentral:rRNA from 1 species
UACGUAGGGGGCGAGCGUUGUUCGGAUUUACUGGGCGUAAAGAGCGCGUAGGCGGCCGGAUAAGUCCGUUGUGAAAUCCCCCGGCUCAACCGGGGACCCGCUUCGGAAACUAUCCGGCUUGAGUCGCGGAGAGGAGAGCGGAAUUCCCAGUGUAGCGGUGAAAUGCGUAGAUAUUGGGAGGAACACCGGUGGCGAAGGCGGCUCUCUGGACGCGUACUGACGCUGAGGCGCGAAAGCUAGGGGAGCAAAC